GGGAUGUAGCUCAGUUGGUAGAGUGCUUGCCUUGCAUGCACAAGGCAGGCCUGGGUUCAAUCCCCAGCCCCA
rnacentral:tRNA from 1 species